rnacentral:lncRNA from 1 species
AGUCAGGUCAAUCUCAAAGACAGGAAAAGAGAUGGACGUGCAGCAAGGAAGAAUAAGAAGGGAGGCAGCCCCAAAGGCAGCCUGAAUGCAUAGAAACGACCACCACCUCUUCUCCCACUGCCUCACUCCUCCCAUCCCACAGGGGCACUUGGCAGAGGGCCCAGGCCCAGAUGAGGGUCAGCAUGGGGACCACUACCGUGAAAAGGCAAGACAAAGAUGGUCCAGAUCAGCACAGAAACAGAACCGCCAAAGGCGGCACGGGAGCCCUGACCAGGGCCUGGCUCUCUCCUUGCCAGGACUGCCGCUGUCACUCAGGCCCUCCAGAGCCACUGGCUGCGAAGGUUGGACCUCCGGCUGGAAUCUCCUAAAGCCCCUGUCAAACAGGACAGAAUGUGGUAACAGAACAGAGGACAAUGAGCACACAGAUGAGUUCCAGCGACUUUAGCACGCUAAACACAUGGCCAAGUCGGCCUGAGAAGGUGGGGAAAGUGGGUGAAGCUAAUGCUUAAAUACAAAACUGCCUCCCAUUUGCUAAGCACUAACUAAGUGCUUUACUUAUAGUAUCUUACUUAAUCCUCACAAUGAUUAAAUGAGGUAGGCACCACUCUCUGCCUUUCUUUGACAGCUAAGGAAACAGUUUAGGGAGGGGAAGUAACCUGUCUGAGGUCAUCCAAUUUGGAGUCACGGAGCCAGACCCUAGUCUGUCUGAUUUCCAAGCAUAACUUAUUGCAACCAUUCUGCCAGGCUUUGCCAGUCCUCUGGGACGGCCCACACCUCCUCUCCCAGGACCACCUCCCAGCCUUCUCUUCUUCCUCUGACCCCACCUAUCCCAGGCCCUUCCAGCCCCUCUCCCCCGUCAACCAGGUGCACCUGUGGCUGAGCUCACUGCAGCGGUGCGGCAGGGGCCCCUGAGCAGUGAUAGUGGACAUUGAGCCACUUGCCAUCCCGACGGUGCCAGACCCGGGUCUCUUCUGACUGGCUGGUGCGAGGCCGACCCUGCCCGUCGAUGUACUGGGUGAGGCGGAUGUAGGCGAUGCACGCUGCGUCCUCCCCAAUCACGUGGACGUGUGGGUUUAGGAUGGUGGUAUGGAUAGGCUUGCUGUUCUUGGACAGGACUGCAGGGCAGGGUGGGGUAGGUAAGAGGACAUCAGGCCUGGGCACCUGCAUUUUCCUCCCAGCCUGCACUUCCAAGUCUUACCAUCUCCCAAGCAACCACUCCCAGAAUCUCCAAGUACCGCCCCCCCCCACCCCCGAACCCCUGAACGCCCUCCAGAGGCCAGGAUGCCACAUUACAUUAGUCUCCUUUAUCCAAAAGGAACAGAAAGAUGGGUAACAGUGACAGUACCUGCUGCGCUUUUAAUCAGGCAUUGUGCUGGGGUUUUACAUGCCCGAGCUGUAUUUCUUGGUGGAUAAUAUUUUCUUCAUUAUAAGAUGAGGAAAUAGGCUCAAGGAAUAAUUUGCUCAAAUCACACACCUGAACUCAGGACCAUGUGACUCUUAACUAAAGCCUAUAGAUUUUCUAUUCUGUUAGGCUGAGUUUAGAUUUCAUAAGGCUUGGCUCACCCCUAGCUAGGGCUGCAGAACAAAAUCAUGAACUUAAACCAUUCAAAAUUGAUUUGUAAUUUUUUUUAAGGCACCAAAGCUGAAAUAGAAUCAUCAAAGCACCAAGCUCAGGAUAUUCCCAGGAUUCUCUGGGGAAAAGGCAAAAGAAGUUGGAUUGCCAUUAUCAGCAUAUGCUGUGAAAACUGUGUUGCUUUUAUUGAGAUUCACAUUUUAGUUCAAUUCAAAUGUUAGACAGGGGCUACAUGACACCUUCCUAGUACUAAUAUAAACUCUGGAAUUGCUUCUGGCUAAUAGAAUUACUUAGAUAACAGAGAGUUUAUAUAUGUAGCUGAGAUGUGAUAAGGGUGGGAGCCAGCGGAGAAGUUAGUGACUAACUAUAACUCAGGGCAGGAUAGGGAAGGCCCAGCAUAAAGUGGGAAGAGAUAAAAAUAAGGAAGGGGAGGGUCUCAUAGAGCAGAGAGAAAGAUGGGAGGGGGUGAUGAUUCAGCUUCUUAUCCCCUUAUUUUCCAUGAACUGUCCAGAAUGUACACCCCACCCCCUAUACAAGACGUCUGCCUUCCUCCAUAGUCAGGAAGAUUCUAGCCACAACUUCCGAUCUCGCAAAUCACCAACAGUGCCCUGGUUUGCACAUUCUUAUCCUGGUUUUAAUUUCCUCUAUUGUGAAACCUGCAGACACAGAGCUUAGUUCUUAUGUGCUGAGAUCAUCUCAACCUAAUCUCAAAGGGUUUCCUUCCAAUCCGUCUUGGAAAGAGGUGAGGCUUAAAUAAUUUUUUCUUUUUUUUUGAGAUGGAGUCUUGCUCUGUUGCCCAGGCUGGAGUGCAGUGGCCUGAUCUUGGCUCACUGCAAGCUCUGCCUCCCAGGUUCACAUCAUUCUCCUGCCUCAGCCACCCGAGUAGCUGGGACUACAGGCACCGCCACCACGCCCGGCUAAUUUUUUGUAUUUUUAGUAGAGAUGGGGUUUCACCGUGUUAGCCAGGAUGGCCUCGAUCUCCUGACCUCGUGAUCCGCC